rnacentral:rRNA from 1 species
AGAGUUUGAUCCUGGCUCAGAGCGAACGCUGGCGGCGUGGCUAAGACAUGCAAGUCGAACGGACUAUCCAAUUGAGUAAUCGAGAGGAUAGUUAGUGGCGAAAGGGUGAGUAACGGAUAGGUAACGUACCCCGAGCUUCGGAACAGCGUCGUUCGCCUUCGGGCGAACUACCGAAAGGGGCGGUAAUACCGAAUAAUAUCACCUGUUGACAGGCUUGUGAUCAAAGAUUUAUCGGCGCGGGAGCGGCCUAUCUCCUAUCAGCUUGUUGGUGAGGUAAUGGCUCACCAAGGCUAUGACGGGUAGCGGGACUGAGAGGUUGUUCCGCCACAUCGGGACUGAGACACUGCCCGGACCUCCACGGAGGGCUGCAGUAACGAAUCUUGCGCAAUGGGCGAAAGCCUGACGCAGCGACGCCGCGUGUGGGAGGAAGUCUUUCGGGAUGUAAACCACUGUCAGGGGUAAGAAAGUCCACCUCGGUGGACUGAUCUAACCCGGAGGAAGUCACGGCUAACUUCGUGCCAGCAGCCGCGGUAAGACGAAGGUGGCAAGCGUUGCUCGGUAUUACUGGGCUUAAAGAGUGUGUAGGCGGAAGGGUAAGCGUCUCGCGAAAGCCCCCGGCUUAACCGGGGAACGGCGGGACGUACUGCCUUUCUUGAGCCAAGUAGGGGUGCAUGGAACUCUUGGUGGAGCGGUGAAAUGCGUAGAUAUCAAGAGGAACGCCGGUGGUGAAAACGGUGCACUGGGCUUGUGCUGACGCUGAGACACGAAAGCGUGGGUAGCGAACGGGAUUAGAUACCCCGGUAGUCCACGCCGUAAACGAUGUCUACUAGGUUGUGGGGGUUCUGACGCUCGCACGGCCGAAGCAAAAGUGCUAAGUAGACCGCCUGGGGAGUACGGCCGCAAGGCUAAAACUCAAAGGAAUUGACGGGGGCUCACACAAGCGGUGGAGCAUGUGGAUUAAUUCGAAGCAACGCGCAGAACCUUACCUGGGUUUGACAUGCUUGGAUGUCGCCUGCGAAAGUGGGUUGGCUGCCCUUCGGGGUGAAACUUGCACAGGUGCUGCAUGGCUGUCGUCAGCUCGUGUUGUGAAAUGUCGGGUUAAGUCCCUUAACGAGCGAAACCCUUGCCGUUAGUUGCCUGCGGGUCAUGCCGGGGACUCUAACGGGACUGCCGGUGUCAAACCGGAGGAAGGUGGGGAUGACGUCAAGUCAUCAUGGCCUUUAUGCCCAGGGCCUCACACGUGCUACAAUGGCGGCCACAGAGCGACGCGAGACCGCGAGGUGGAGCAAAUCGCAAAAAGGUCGCCCCAGUUCGGAUUGUAGGCUGGCAAUUCGCCUGCAUGAAGUCGGAAUCGCUAGUAAUCGCGUAUCAGCGACGACGCGGUGAAUGUGUUCCUGAGCCUUGUACACACCGCCCGUCAAGUGAUGGGAGUUGGGAGUACCCGAAGUCGGUUUGCUAACUUGAUUUAUCAAGGGGCGGCUGCCGACGGUAAGCCCGAUGACUGGCACUAAGUCGUAACAAGGUAACC